rnacentral:misc_RNA from 1 species
GAUGAAGAACGUAGCGAAAUGCGAUAAGUAAUGUGAAUUGCAGAAUUCAGUGAAUCAUCGAAUCUUUGAACGCACAUUGCGCCCCCUGGAAUUCCGGGGGGCAUGCCUGUCCGAGCGUCAUUACAACCCUCAAGCUCAGCUUGGUAUUGGGCCCCGCCGACCCGGCGGGCCCUAAAGUCAGUGGCGGUGCCGUCCGGCUCCGAGCGUAGUAAUUCUUCUCGCUCUGGAGGUCCGGUCGUGUGCUCGCCAGCAACCCCUAAUUUUUUUCAGGUUGACCUCGGAUCAGGUAGGGAUACCCGCUGAACUUAAGCAUAUCAAUAAGCGGAGGA